rnacentral:rRNA from 1 species
AUUGAACGCUGGCGGCAUGCCUUACACAUGCAAGUCGAACGGCAGCACGUGUGUUUGCACCUGGUGGCGAGUGGCGAUCGUGUGAGUAAUACAUCUGAACAUGUCCUGUUGCGUGGGAUAGUCCGUCGAAAGCCGGAUUAAUACCGCAUACGAUCGUCUGGUGAAAGCGGGGGACCUUCGGGCCUCGUGCGUUUGUUUGUGCCGAUGUCUGAUUAGCUAGUUGGUGGGGUAAAGGCCUACCAAGGCGACGAUCAGUAGCUGGUCUGAGAGGACGACCAGCCACACUGGGACUGAGACACGGCCCAGACUCCUACGGGAGCACGCAGUGGGCACAUUUGGACAAUGGGCGAAAGCCUGAUCCAGCAAUGCCGCGUGUGAGAAGAAGGAAUUCGGGUUGUAAAGCACUUUUGUCCGGAAAGACAAAAAAGGCCCUAAUACGGUCGGGGGAUGACGGUACCGGAAGAAUAAGCACCGGCUAACUACGUG